GCUCUCGUGGUGAAAUGGAUAUCACGUGGACCUCCGGAGUCUAAGUUGCAGGUUCGAUUCCUGCCGAGAGCGCCA
rnacentral:tRNA from 1 species